AACGAACGCUGGCGGCAGGCUUAACACAUGCAAGUCGAGCGCCCCGCAAGGGGAGCGGCAGACGGGUGAGUAACGCGUGGGAAUCUACCCAUCUCUACGGAAUAACGCAUGGAAACGUGUGCUAAUACCGUAUACGUCCUUCGGGAGAAAGACCUAUCGGAGAUGGAUGAGCCCGCGUUGGAUUAGCUAGUUGGUGGGGUAAAGGCCUACCAAGGCGACGAUCCAUAGCUGGUCUGAGAGGAUGAUCAGCCACACUGGGACUGAGACACGGCCCAGACUCCUACGGGAGGCAGCAGUGGGGAAUAUUGGACAAUGGGCGCAAGCCUGAUCCAGCCAUGCCGCGUGAGUGAUGAAGGCCCUAGGGUUGUAAAGCUCUUUCACCGGUGAAGAUAAUGACGGUAACCGGAGAAGAAGCCCCGGCUAACUUCGUGCCAGCAGCCGCAGUAACAC
rnacentral:rRNA from 1 species